CACACACAUAAUCUGGCAAACCCAGUUCAUCCCAAUGGGCACACAGCACAGCCUCAGCAAAUAGAAAAUACUGAUUUUUUUCAGUGAAAUAAACAUUUUGUUGUAACAAUAGCAAGUCAGAAAAACAAAACAACACGCUCUGUUAGAAUAAUCUUAUCAGGAUAAACUAGACUCCUGCCUUCCAGUUACACAGACUCUUAAUAAAAUUUGCUUUAGAAUUUGCAAACUUUUAAU